GACGAACGCUGGCGGCGUGCUUAACACAUGCAAGUCGAACGGAAAGGCCCUGCUUUUGUGGGGUGCUCGAUUGGCGAACGGGUGAGUAACACGUGAGUAACCUGCCCUUGACUUUGGGAUAACUUCAGGAAACUGGGGCUAAUACCGGAUAGGAUCUCUUGCUGCACGGUGGGGGUUGGAAAGUUUCGGCGGUUGGGGAUGGACUCGCGGCUUAUCAGCUUGUUGGUGAGGUAGUGGCUUACCAAGGCUUUGACGGGUAGCCGGCCUGGGAGGGUGACCGGCCACAUUGGGACUAAGAUACGGACCAGACUCCUACGGGAGGCAGCAGUGGGGAGUAUUACGCAAUGGGCGGAAGCCUGAUGCAGCAACGCCGCGUGCGGGAUGACGGCCUUCGAGUUGUAAACCGCUUUCGCAUGUGACGAAGCGUGAGUGACGGUAAUGGGUAAAGAAGCACCGGCUAACUACGUG
rnacentral:rRNA from 1 species